rnacentral:rRNA from 1 species
UGGUGUAUAUCUGGUUUGAUAUUAGUGCUUAAUAGCUUAAUUUGUAUAUUUGUUAUUUAAGCCAAGUCUAUGUGCUGCCUGUAAAAGGUUUCAUGCGUUACAUUUAUAAGUUUAGUUAUGUAAUUAAUUUUGUAAAUUGAGGACUUAAAAGUAAUGUAGUAUUAGUUUGUCUACGUGAAAUGGGUUUAGCUCAUGUACACACCGC